CCUACGGGUGGCAGCAGUGAGGAAUCUUGGUCAAUGGGCGAGCGCCUGAACCAGCCAAGUCGCGUGAGGGAGUACUGCCCUAUGGGUUGUACACCUCUUUUGUCGGGGAGCAAAAGCCUGACGUGUCCGGCUGUGAGAGUACCCGAAGAAAAAGCAUCGGCUAACUCCGUGCCAGCCGCCGCGGUACUCCGGAGGAUGCGAGCGUUAUCCGGAUUUUUGGGGUUUAAAGGGUGCGCAGGCGGAUUUUUAAGUCAGCGUUCAAAUCUUGGGGCUCAACCCUAUCCAGCCGUUGAAACUGGGGAUCUAGAGUGUGCGAGAGGUAUGCGGAAUGCGUGGUGUAGCGGUGAAAUGCAUAGAUAUCACGCAGAACCCCGAUUGCGAAGGCAGCAUACCGGUGCACAACUGACGCGCAGGCACGAAAGCGUGGGUAUCGAACAGGAUUAGAUACCCGGGUAGUC
rnacentral:rRNA from 1 species